CACCAGGUUGAUUCUGCCUGACGUGGAUGCUAGUUUCAUAGACUAAGCCAUGCAUGUGUAAGCGAAGCUUUUAGUGGAGCUGCGGAAGGCUCAGUAACGGGCGUCUAAUUUGAUCUCUUAGAGCGGACAACCUCUGUAAACGGAGGACAAAACGCAUUAUGGGCAUGUCYGAAAGAUGCCUAGACAACCGAAAGGUGUGAGAGAAUAAGGGGCCAUCCCAUCAGUUAGUAAGUAAGGUAAAGGCCUACUUAGACGAAGACGGGUACGGGGAAUUAUUGUUCGAUUCCGGAGAGGGAGCCUGAGAGAUGGCUACCAGGUCCAAGGAUAGCAGCAGGCGCGAAAAUUACCGAAGCCUAAAGUAGGGCGGUAGUAAUGAAACGUGAAAACGAUGUACUGAUAAAAGAGGUAGUAGUGACUGGAGGUAAAGACUGGUGCCAGCAUCCGCGGUAAUACCAGCUCCAGGAGUGUCUAUGAUGAUUGUUGCAAUUAAAGAGUUCGUAGUCGAGUAGCAUGACAGGUCUUUAAAGUGGUGGAUCAAACGACGACCAGGAUCUGAAAAGCUAAGAAUGAGGAGCGAUCAGGGGCUAGUUUAUUAAGCGACGAAAGGUGAAAUUUGAUGACUCGCUUAGGAGAAACGGAGGCGAAGGCGCUAGCCAGGAGCGAAUCCGAUGAUAAAGGACGUAGGCUAGAGGAUCGAAGACGAUUAGAGACCGUUGUAGUUCUAGCAGUAAACGAUGCCGACGCUGUGCUAUGAAYUGUAGUGCGGAAGAGAAAUCGAGUAGGGCCUUGGGGAGAGUACAUACGCAAGUAAGAAACUUAAACGAAAUUGACGGAAGAACACCACAAGGAGUGGAGUGUGCGGCUUAAUUUGACUCAACGCGGGACAGCUUACCAAGCCCGACGACUGGAYGAGUGUAGUACACGAUAGGUCGGAGAGUGGUGCAUGGCCGUUAACGACAAGUGGGGUGACCUUAUGGUUAAGUCCGGGAAGUAGUGAGACCCCUGCUAGCGGAAGACRAGACGAGUUAGGACAGGUACGCAAAGUACAGGAAGGAAGGGUCAAGAACAGGUCAGUGAUGCCCUCAGAUGGCUUGGGCUGCACGCGCACUACAGUGGUCACACGAAUAAAGGAAAGUAACAGUAAAGGUGAUUGAGAGGGAAUGAGCUUUGUAAGAGGCUCAGGAACGAGGAAUUGCUAGUAAUCGCAGACUCAUUAAGAUGCGAUGAAUACGUCCCUGUUCUUUGUACACACCGCCCGUCGUUAUCGAAGAUGGAAUCAGGUGCGAACAAGUGAAAACGAGUGAGUACAGGGUUCUAGAUGUGAUACAAGUCGUAACAAGGUAGCUGUAGG
rnacentral:rRNA from 1 species